rnacentral:piRNA from 1 species
UGACGAUAUUGAUGAGGAGAGCAGCGGC